rnacentral:misc_RNA from 1 species
CUAAUAUAAAGAUAAUUAACUCAGCGUUAGAGAAAGAAACUUGCAGCAAUUUUCAUCUUCAACAGACAAAAGUAACAAUAAUGCACACAGGAUGAAAGUUGAUUGGAUCAACGCUAAACAGUCAGGUAGCCUGUAUUUUCUAUUAAAAAAUAAAAAGCUUGAAGUUAUGCAAAGAGAACAGGUUUAUGGAUCAAAACAUGAAUUUAACAUUUUAUCAUGGAGCCACCAUAUGAUUGGAAGAGGAGCAAAUCCAAAGGCAGAGAAUGAGGAGGACAAAGCUUCGAAGCGCGUGGAGAAAGCAUGGAGCAGCAGGAGCAAAACAGAAGUAAACCAUCAGAGCAAAAUAGGGGGAAAACAAAAGGUGCCAUUUUCAGUUAAGUAGCGCAAGCAAAAUGUAAGUAAACAUGGGCAAAAACACCAAGCAGCACCAAAACCAAUAGGCCCUCCCUCAACAAUCUUCUACAUUUUUAAUGGAAGUCACAAACUAAAACCUAACAACCAAGACUUUUCACCAGAGUACCAAUUACUAGAAACAAAGUUGAAUCAGGCAAUAGUAAAAAACCAUACUUCUAACAUAAAACUUCUUGAAGAAAAUUAAUUUAAUGUUUUAUUUCUCUUCUCUUCAUUCAGCAGGGAACCAAAAUUUUAUGCCUUUAGCUAUUAAUUAACACCUAAAAACCAAAUAUUUAGUCCAAGUACCAAUGAGCUGAAACAAACUUGAACUGGCCAAUGUUUAAAAAUUAGCUUUCUAACUUAAAAAAGAAAAUGAAAAACUUGUUUUCCAAAUUGGCAGGCCACAAAAAUUUUUUUGCCUUUAGCUAUCAAUUGGUCUUUUCAUAUAAAAAAAUUGUCAAAUCUAACAACUAAAAGCAAACAAUGCAAAUUAAAUAACAGCAAAACAUACUUCUCUCUCUCCCAGCACAGUUAUUAAAAAUACAAAUUUACAACCUCAGCUAUCCUAAUGCACUUUUUUUUACCAUACAUCACGGAUGACACAAACGCAAUAAUACACUCACCCUAUAUGCAUACAAUCAAACCUAAAAAUUCACCAAAAACACAAUAAUUUCCUUGAAAUGACAGCCCAAAAUUCAAAGGAUAAGGGUUAAUAGUAUCUAGCAACAAUUAGAUGAUAAUAAAGUACAAAAAAAUUACAUAGCCUAUACCUCCUUCCCACAGAAAAUGCAAGAGGCAAGAACAGCAAACAUUUGUUUUUUUUAAUGCCUAAGCAAAAUGUUAAAUGAUACUUGUAUCACCACUUGCAAUAACAGGUCCAAACUUAAAUAUCUGAGCUUCUUUUCUAUUCAUAGUUUGGCACAAACUCAUUUGUGUUUUUGACCACCUAAGCAAAAUGUUCAAUAGCAUUUUCACCGCCUACUUACAAUAACAGGGACGUUACCUUUCUUCAAACUUAAAUAUCUCAGUUUCUUCUCUAUUCAUAGUUUGCCACUAAUUCAUUUUAACAGCAGAGCAAAAUCAACUUCUAAAAAAGAAUUAUCAAGAAUCAAAUAUGGGUAGUCGGGCAUGUUGUUAUUGACUAUACAGAAGCAUUAAAAAAUAUAUAUAAAGCAUUAAAAUUUAUUUAAGAUGCAAUAAAAGCAAAGUUCGUGGCUAGCUACAUUAAGAAAAAUUGGUGUAAAAAAACACACCUAAUGAUCCCAAUUGCCAAAAAAGAAAGGGAAAAGCCAAAAUUAGCACCAAUAUACCGGGGAAAAAAACAAUGGCA